rnacentral:rRNA from 1 species
UACGUAGGGGGCAAGCGUUGUCCGGAUUCAUUGGGCGUAAAGAGCGUGUAGGCGGCCAGGUAGGUCGGUUGUGAAAACUGGAGGCUCAACCUUCAGACGUCGACCGAAACCCCUUGGCUAGAGUCCGGGAGAGGAGAGUGGAAUUCCUGGUGUAGCGGUGAAAUGCGCAGAUAUCAGGAAGAACACCCGUGGCGAAAGCGGCUCUCUGGAACGGUACUGACGCUGAGACGCGAAAGCGUGGGGAGCGAACAGG